GUGGAGUGACAGUAUUAUCUAGGGUUGAUAACUGAUUUAUUGUUUCAAGUAAUCGGCACUUAGGGCAAAGUUCACGAAUUUGGAAAUUAAGAAACUCAUGAUAUCUAAAUGAAAAAAUGGACAUGGCUAAUACAAAAGAUGCAUAUGGUGAAAGUAAAGACGACGCCGACGAAAUGCCAGAUUUUCAGUUCGAACGAAUGGUACAUAAAGGGGUUGCAAUGUUAAAAUGUGAGAUUGAUGAUAUAGAACGGAUGGAGACGAGGAUUGACGAUAUUUGGGUGUGCAGUUUUCCCAGAUCCGGGACAACGAUGACGCAGGAGAUGACGUAUCUAGUACAAACCUUGGACUUUAAAACUGCAAACACUGUUAAUCUUGACGACCGUUUUCCUUUGCUUGAGUUGAAGGAUGACAGAUUUCCGUUUUAU